GUCCUCUUCCAUAUAUUCCUUCACCAACAAAAAUAAACUUUCAUAAAAUCUCCUUCAAAUCUCCUCCCUUUCUCUUCUAUUUAUACUCCUUUAUCCUCCCUUCUCUAUGUCCCAUAACCUCCAGAUAAAGGACUACUUCAAGUACUUCCACCGACUAGGCCUCUCUUAUUUAUCUCUGGGAUACACUCUGCAAUGAGUGUAUUAUAUUUAUGCGUCUUCUCAUCGUGCACCACUAUCAGUUGAAGCUGCCAGCUUGAUCUUAACUUCCCCCCAUUGUUGAGGAAAGAUCAGAUCAUGUGGCAGUUUCACCCGGUGUUGGUCGCACGAGAAACCCUAAUUCCACUCAUAACCCUUAUUUCCACUGUUAUGCUUACAUGGGCUAUUAGGGUUUUCCUUGCUCAAUCCCUAGAAAAGUUCAAUGAUUCCAAGGUCUCCAUGAUGCUUUGGUGAUUGAGCCUUGACAUUCUUUUAACUUGCCGUACACAGCUUUUACUAAUAAUUUAGGUAUGCAUCUUCUAUUUCCUGUGUAGGAUUCUAGACAAGAAUUUUCCUCUGUGUAUGAUCUUCCGAUCUCAUAUCUAUUUGUUUAGGGUUUCUAUAAUAAGCGUUAUGGUUCUCACUUAUAAAUUCUGCUCCAAAUUACCAAAUAAAAAUAGUGUGUUCUUGUAUCGAUGAUCCAUACCUAUAAACCCUGACACAUAUUGCAUCUGACAUCUUCAUUUUUCAGUUGAGCUAGAUUAAAGCCUAACUUAAUGUUUUAGCUAGGGCUCAAAAUGCGUGCGUGAGAGAGAGAGAGAGAGAGAGAGAGAGAGAGAGAGAGAGAGAGAGAGCGAGAUAAGAGAGAGAUUCACAUGUGGGUUUACAUUUAUGGUUUGCAGUGAAUUAAAUUAGUCUUAAAAAUUUGAGAUGGGGAGAGUAAAUGAACGAAGUAUAAAUCUAAAUAUUUUUUGCAGUUCCUUAAAAUUAUGAUCUAAGUUGGCAUCACUUAAUUUUUCACUAAUAUUAUGGUUUGAAUCCAGCUAAUUAAUCCAGUUUUUGAGUUUUGCAUUUCUUUCUUUCCUUUCCUUUCCUUUUUUGUCUCCUCUCUCUCUCUCUCUUUCAGGAUCAUAUGGAGCAGAUUCGUUCGAGCUUUACAUGUAGUGAGUUGGAUCUUGGUUGCUAAAUGUAUCCGGUACACAUCUUUACAUUUCCUGAUAAAGUAAUUGAGAUAUAUAACCAGCUGUCAUAAUAUGUCAAUUAAGACAAGAAAUACAACUUAAAAAACCUCGUUCGCCAAGUUCUUUCAAAACAAGAAGGGGGAGGAACUGCCUGACAAAUGGAGAGGUAAAGUUAGUGUAGCAAUAGAACGGUAAGAUAUAUAUUGUCCUGUUUGAAAAGUUUUAAUCCGUGAAGAAUCUACAAGACAAUUAUUCUAUAUAUUCAGUAUCUCUGUGAUGAAAGCAGGGAUAUGAAUAUCGCUCUUCUUGUGUCACUUAUUUUCCUGAUCACUUUCUUGUGUUUCUUCCAGGUUUGAAAGUAAUCACCGAAAUCAAAGGUUUGAGUACAAUUGCUAUCUGUGAUCAGAGGCUUUCUCUGAGAAAGUAAUCACCGAAAUCAAAUUGAUAUAUUUGCUUGGCACAUUUGUGCUUGAAAAAUUCUGAUCCUGGUUAGACUUUGAUUAUUGGAUAUAAUGUUAUUCCCAAUAAAUCUCUAUUUUCAUUAUAAUAUAAUAAUCCAAAUUUUAUUAGGAUAAGACGUCACAUCUUACUAUAAAAUAACUUAUGCGAAUCUCCUUCACUUGAUGAACUUUGUCAUAAGUUCCUUGAAGCCCAUGCUCAAAUCUACUGCUUCGACACCAAGACCCCUGUACUCGUUAACCGAAACUUAGCACAUACCCUGUUAUCAAGUAGUUUUGGAACAGUUGUAAAUUAUCAACAUGGAAGGCAAAUGAAUGGCUAUAAGAAACUAAAAUUAUCCAGUUUAAAUGUGAAAGUAAAAUGACCAUAACAUUGAUUUAGAAGUAGAAUACGGUCUCUCUUUUUUUUAAUCCACAGUGACUUGGUGAUGAUCACAGGUUCAACCAUAUGCGAAUAGCCAAGAGAAGGGCUUACAGUUCACAAUGUUAGCCUAGGUGUCUCAUGCAUUGGGACAUCUUUUCUAUAAGUAAAUUGUGAAAGGAAAAUUUGUUUUUGUAGUUCCUGAACGGUUGGGAUAAUGGCUAUUAUUUAUGUUGUUUCGAACUGUUAAACAUUAGCAUGCGAACCCUUGUUCUAGUUCUUUCUUCAUUUUUUUUUUUUUUUGUGAUAAACUCAAGUUCGUUCUUCUUAGUACAAUGUUACAUAUUCUUCUUUGAUGCAAGGACAUCGCACAUAUGCACAUGGAUUGUAGAGUGUAGAGACAAAAGUAUUAUAUGAUUAUGCAACUGUGAAGUCUGAUUUGAUUUCCCUAUCAACCUUGGUUGUUGGAGUUUGGCCCCUCUCUUUUGGCAGGAAGCUCUAAGUGAACAAGAUUCCACAUAGCUUUCUUUUUUGCUUGGUACCCAGUUAAGCAAAAACGUCAUUUGUUUGAUUCUCCCAACUCUUUCCAGAGAUUGCAUUUGUCAGUUAUCAUCAAUGGAAGACAUCAGGUGGAGAAUCCAUUGACAAGGCCUUGUUACAUUCCAUUUAUGGAUGCUCUUUGGGAGACCCAUUAUGCUAGACAAUGGUAAUGCAAUUAAUUGGUUUUCUAUAAGGACCCGGGAAUGGCUCGCGUUCAAUUAUUGAAAGUGAGAUUUCAGUGAAAAAGUUAAAGCUGUGCGUGUGAGAGAGAUAUAGAGAAGGGGCAACGUUAUUAUAUAGUUUUAGAGCUAACUUGUACAUACUUUGGUGCACAAUUCAAAUACAUCAUUACAUGAUUUUUCAUCACUAUGUACUUUCUCUCUCUCCAAUAAAUAAUUCCCUUGCACUCCUUGUGAAAUACUUUUGCAAUGUCAUUUUGUCUUCCAGUUAAUUGAUAUUGCUCUAAAUACAUAGGAUGUCUCCAAAGAGCUGGAAUAUUAUGAAAUAUAAAAAUUUAUGUACAAACCGAAAUCAUAUCUAUGUGGAUUCAAUUAAGCCAAAAUCAUCAUUAUUUUACUUCCUCCUACUCUCUAUUUUUAAAGAGAGAAUUUCUUUCUGAUAUUAUAGUUUUCAUCAAAGGCUAGUCCUCUUUCUCCAUCCCUUUUAGCGGUUGCCCCUUCCCUACCUGAACGUGGGUUCUCCUCUCCCACCCUUGAGUGGGUUGUGUACAAUUUUUUGGAUCUUGUUGGUUUGCUGGUUGAGCUUCUUGGUUAACGGUCAUUUGUGACCUCCUGUCUAGGGUUUCUCCGUUGUUGAUGAUGGUUCUGCAGAGGAGGGCAGUCUCGGGGACGUUCACGACGCUGUGCCGUUUAGCAGUUGCCCCUUCCCUACCUGAUCUCCUCUCCCACCUUUGGAUGGGUUGUGUAUAGUUUUUUGUGUCUUGUUGGUUUGUAGGUUGAGCUUCUUGGUUAAGGGUCAUUUUUGGCCUACUGUUAAGGUUUCUCUUUUGUUGAUGAUGGUUCUGCAGAGGAGGGCGGCCUCGGGGACGUUCACGACACUGUUAGUGGUGCCCAGUCUCAUAAAGCCUAUAGGAGAGUGAGAUUAGAGCUUUACCCUCCUCCCCUGAUUUCGGUGUCCGUGUCCUUUGUGUUUCAUUUUCUAAUUGAGUUGCCAUGGUGAAGCCACAUCUUAGCCAAGGGCCUGAUGUUGUUGAUAGGGACGUCUCCUUCAAGCAUUUUGGCCGAUCUUUGGUCCCUUGUGGUGCCCUUGUUAAAUCCCACGAAAAGUAUAAACGUAAAAAAAUAAAUAUAAUUGGUUCUGCGUCCCCAUUUUUAAGAUAUGGUGUUGAUGUUCAAAGCCCAGCAUUCCAAAGAGUCAUGCAUGGCUCACUAGUUCUUUAGCCAGACCAUGGGGUGGUGUUUUUUGGGGAAACAUUAUCAAGAGUUGUUAGCCGAGUCUCAAAUUCCCUUGGUGCUUCAACAGGACUCAUCUUCCCUCCGGCUACCUGGUUGGCCAUCCAAUGGCGUUCGCUCCUUUUUGGGUGCUGUGCGGCACUUUUCAUCCGGUUUGAGGGUUUCAGAUCUGAGCCAACGUUUCUCUAUUCUUUUAGAGUGGGCUGCUUGUAUGAUUUGA